rnacentral:rRNA from 1 species
AGUGAACGCUGGCGGUAGGCCUAACACAUGCAAGUCGAACGGCAGCACAGUAAGAGCCUGCUCUUACGGGUGGCGAGUGGCGGACGGGUGAGGAAUACAUCGGAAUCUACUUUUUCGUGGGGGAUAACGUAGGGAAACUUACGCUAAUACCGCAUACGACCUACGGGUGAAAGCAGGGGAUCUUCGGACCUUGCGCGAUUGAAUGAGCCGAUGUCGGAUUAGCUAGUUGGCGGGGUAAAGGCCCACCAAGGCGACGAUCCGUAGCUGGUCUGAGAGGAUGAUCAGCCACACUGGAACUGAGACACGGUCCAGACUCCUACGGGAGGCAGCAGUGGGGAAUAUUGGACAAUGGGCGCAAGCCUGAUCCAGCCAUACCGCGUGGGUGAAGAAGGCCUUCGGGUUGUAAAGCCCUUUUGUUGGGAAAGAAAAGCAGCAGGUUAAUACCCCGCUGUCCUGACGGUACCCAAAGAAUAAGCACCGGCUAACUUCGU